AUGGUUGCCUUUCGGGAUACUCUGGAGAUCUGUGGGCUUGUGGAUUUGGGUUUUGUGGGAGUACCUUUUACUUACGACAAUAAGAGGGGAGGAUCGGGUAAUGUCAAAGUCCGUUUGGACAGAGCAGUGGCUACAAAUGAAUGGAGAAACUUGUAUGCUUUCACUAUGGUUCUCCACGUUCCAUCCCCUUGUUCUGAUCAUGUGGAAAUCGUGGUAAAGGCAAAUAUAGAUCCAGGGCCAGCGGGAGGUAAGCAGCGCCAGUAUGAGUUGUUUUGGGAGAGGGAUGCGGUUCUUCCUGAAGUGAUUAAAGAGGCAUGGGAGGCGGUAGGCAAUAUACAGAACCUAGAGCAACUCCGGGAUGCACUGUCAAAAACUAUGACAACGUUGGGUAAGUGGAGUAAGAAAUUUGGCAAUGUGACACGUGAACUGGCUAAAUCACGAUCCCAACUGGAAGAACUCAUGCAUAUGAAUGCGGAUAGACGGGAAAUUAGAAGAGUCACUGACAAGAUGAAUGAGUUGCUCUAUCAGGAAGAGAUGCUUUGGCUUCAAAGGUCUAGAAUAACAUGGUUGAAAGAGGGGGACAGAAAUACCAAAUACUGUCAAAGCAAAGCUGUUUGGAGAGCGAGGAAAAACAAAAUAAGAGAGCUUACGGAUAGUAUUGGGGUUGUGCAUUCGGAUUUUGAAACCAUUGAAGGAAAUAUGCCCUAG
rnacentral:rRNA from 1 species